UGAGGAAUAUUGGUCAAUGGGCGAGAGCCUGAACCAGCCAAGUAGCGUGAAGGAUGACUGCCCUAUGGGUUGUAAACUUCUUUUAUAAAGGAAUAAAGUCGGGUAUGGAUACCCGUUUGCAUGUACUUUAUGAAUAAGGAUCGGCUAACUCCGUGCCAGCAGCCGCGGUAAUACGGAGGAUCCGAGCGUUAUCCGGAUUUAUUGGGUUUAAAGGGAGCGUAGAUGGAUGUUUAAGUCAGUUGUGAAAGUUUGCGGCUCAACCGUAAAAUUGCAGUUGAUACUGGAUAUCUUGAGUGCAGUUGAGGCAGGCGGAAUUCGUGGUGUAGCGGUGAAAUGCUUAGAUAUCACGAAGAACUCCGAUUGCGAAGGCAGCCUGCUAAGCUGCAACUGACAUUGAGGCUCGAAAGUGUGGGUAUCAAACAGGAUUAGAUACCCUGGUAGUCCACACGGUAAACGAUGAAUACUCGCUGUUUGCGAUAUACUGCAAGCGGCCAAGCGAAAGCGUUAAGUAUCCCACCUGGGGAGUACGCCGGCAACGGUGAAACUCAAAGGAAUUGACGGGGGCCCGCACAAGCGGAGGAACAUGUGGUUUAAUUCGAUGAUACGCGAGGAACCUUACCCGGGCUUAAAUUGCAGACGAAUUACCUGGAAACAGGUAAGCCGCAAGGCGUCUGUGAAGGUGCUGCAUGGUUGUCGUCAGCUCGUGCCGUGAGGUGUCGGCUUAAGUGCCAUAACGAGCGCAACCCUCGUGGCCAGUUACUAGCAGGUAAUGCUGAGGACUCUGGCCAGACUGCCAUCGUAAGAUGCGAGGAAGGUGGGGAUGACGUCAAAUCAGCACGGCCCUUACGUCCGGGGCUACACACGUGUUACAAUGGGAGGUACAGAAGGCAGCUACCCGGCGACGGGAUGCCAAUCUCCAAAGCCUCUCUCAGUUCGGACUGGAGUCUGCAACCCGACUCCACGAAGCUGGAUUCGCUAGUAAUCGCGCAUCAGCCACGGCGCGGUGAAUACGUUCCC
rnacentral:rRNA from 1 species